ensembl:lncRNA
AUGUUAUUAAUAUUAUUAUUAUUGUUAAUAUUAUUGUCGUUAUUAUUAUUAUCGUUAUCGUUAUUGUUAUUAUUAUUAUUGUUAAUAUUAUUAUCAUUAUUAUUAUUACUGUUAAUAUUAUUAUCGUUAUUAUUAUUACUGUUAAUAUUAUUAUCGUUAUUAUUAUUANNNNNNNNNNUUAUUAUUAUUACUGUUAAUAUUAUUAUCGUUAUUAUUAUUAUUACUGUUAAUAUUAUUAUCGUUAUUAUUAUUAUUAUUAUUAUUAUUAUUAUUAUUCUUUUUUUUUUUUUUUUUUUUUUUUUCUUUUUUUUUUAUUUCCUUUAUUUAUAUUCGGUCCCUUCGUAUUUGCGUUUGUGUUUGUGUUUUUGUUCGUGUUUUUGUUCGUGUUUUUGUUCGUGUUUUUGUUCGUGUUUGUGUUUAUGUUUGUGUUUGUGUUUGUGUUUGUGUUUGUGUUUGCGUUUUUGUUCGUAUUUGCGUUUGUGUUCAUGUUAGGUCCGUUCGUUUUUCCAUUUUUAUUUAAAAUGACGUUAUUCGUUUGAGGGAUAUUUGCUUGAUUAACCAAAUAUUCAAAACUACUGAUUUCAAUACUACCAUCCUCUUCGUGUUUUUUUGUUAUUGUCUUGUCAUCAUUAGCCAAAAUUACAUUAUUAUUAAAUUGUAUAUUUGAGCAAUUUUUAACUGAACUUAAGUCAUUUAAUUUAUUUUUUAGUUUGUCACAGUAUUCAUUAUUUUUUGAUGAAUUUGUUUCAUUAGCACCCUCUGUUUUACUUUCAGGAUUAUACAUAUUUUAUUAUAAAAUUUAAUGUUUCAUAUUAUAUAUAAAACAUUUAUGUUACUAUUAUUAUCAUUACUAUUAUUAUUACUAUUAUUAUUACUAUUAUUAUUACUAUUAUUAUUAUUAUUGUUAUUGUUAUUACUAUUAUUAUUAUUAUUAUUAUUAUUAUUGUUAUUGUUAUUAUUAUUGUUAUUGUUAUUAUUAUUGUUAUUGUUAUUAUUAUAUUAUAUUAUUAUUAUUAUUAUAUUAUAUUAUAUUAUUUAUUUAUUUAUUUUUAAUAUAUCUAGAAACCAUUAUUACGUUUAAUAAAAAUAUUUUAUCUCUUUUAAAUUUAUACCA